CCGUAAACCUAACCAACUCCUCUCUCGGGCACGCGGGCGUUUCCUCUUCGAAUGGCUUGUUCGAACUGUUUCACAUCCUUGCGCUGCCGCAUUCCUAUCUCUUCUUCCCUUCAAUCACUCGCUAUCAGAUCCAGAUCCGCUGCGUCAUCUGCUUUCUUCGCCGUCGGCGCAGCGGCGCCCUGCCCGAUCCCCCGCGUUUCAUUGCUCUCUGCGUCAGUUCUCUCCGGUUGCUGCAUCAUUGACAUUUCUGUCGGUGUAUUAAUUGAAGUUUUUUUUGGGGGGUGAUAUAUGAUGAAGACUUCCAGUGGAAUUGAGGAGCUGCGGCGGGUCUCUGUUCCCGUUACACAGCGCGGUGGCGGUAGAGAGGCUGACAACGCGUGUGAGGACGACGUACUGCAGCAACCGAUCUCUCUCACAGGGUAUCCUCUGCCGCACCUCACCUGGACCUUAGUGUUGUUCUCUCACUUUCGCCUCCAGAGAUGGGUCUUCCAGUUAGACGGUAGAGACCUGAUCAAUGAAGUCCUUCUGACCUGCUCAACUACGGCGGAUGAACUGUUAGAAUUCUUUUCACUUUUGUGGAAUCAUUUUGGUGAAGGUGGAUUACACAAUAAGGAUAUCGUCAACAAUUUCAAGGUCUCGAUGAACUUCUUUAACUUCAUUGUCAUUUGCCCAAUUUUUUGGGAUAUAUUUCUCCAUAUCCAGAAAGAAAUUCUCGACAAUGGCUGAAUGAGUGGUUCUCUUGUUGCUGAAGAAGCAUUGCUCUUUCCUCAGUUGGCUUCCUGCGUUGCAUCCAUUGUUCUCCAGUAUGCUUCUAAUUGUCGAAAUAUGCUUGAGCUUUUAAAAUAUUUGGUGCAAAACUUCAUGCGACAUCAGAAGCCUACAACACUCAAAAUUGGUUGAACGCUGUACACACGAUAAGGGAACCAAAGCUGCUGGUGUGGUGCCUAUGCGGUACAAUGACGGUCAACGCUUUGGUGAAGGUCGACGUCUCAUGCAUCGUAAUUUCUUCAUGAAACCGAAUCGAGGGCUAGUUAGACUUUUAACUCAAGGCGAGAUCACCACUCCUCGAUUUCAUCCCUCCUUUCCUUGUUUCUGAAGUCAAGCUUUGCAAAUUUAGUUGAAUACUUUUAACUUUUUCACACACAAUUCC